rnacentral:lncRNA from 1 species
CAUCAUGUCAUGUUUCAGAAUGGGAUGAGUCAAAAAAUGGACCAAGACAAAUGAGACAUCUAUUGUCCUAAGUGUCAGGUAUGCUGGCCCAUUCCACAAAAAAACCAGGACAGCUUGCAUGGUAUUUACAAUUAAAACCACUACCUUAAUACUAUAUACAUGAAUCCCUCAGUUUGAUGAACCAAAUCUUGACUAUACAACAAUGAUGGCAUAUGAUAAUAUCACAACUAGCAAUGGAAUCAUGUGCCACAUGAUUGAAAUUAGUAAACCAAAAUGGUGAGUCAUGUUGUCACCACUGUUAGAUGCAUCUUAUGCAAUUGAAUCAGCACCUCUACUAAAUUACAAC